UAAAAGAAGGCUUGCAGCUACCAGAAAGUCAUUAAGGCAUUAGUUUCUCUGAGAAGACAGAUCUGGAGAAAAUUCAAGAAAAUGAAUCUCUUUCUCUAUAUAUAAACAAGGUGGAGUGGAAGACAAUGCCUGCAUUUAUGGUUAACUAUAAGUGAUACACUAGGAAGAUGAUGGUAUUCAGACACACACAAACAAUUUGAUUCAGACAGAUUGGAUACAAGAUUUCAACCAGCAUAAGGAGAACAGAACAACUUGGAUCCCAGUGAGAAUGAACAGACCUGAUUUACAAGAUUCUGAUACUUGCUGCUCAUGGCCUUUUAAAAGUACUUUCUAUAAAAUCCUGUGCGGAUGAAAGAUUUUUUCCAUGAAGACAAAGUUCAAAAUACAACAAAAUUCAAAUGUGAUUAUCUGAUGUUUAUUGUAAUAGAAGGGGCAACAUUUACCUGAAUCUCUAUUCCUUGAGCAUCCAAAUCUUCCACUGCAGUGGAAGACUGCAAGAUCAGGCCCUGAGCCAACAUGAAGUAACAUUUUUUACAAGCAAAUAAGGAAGCCAAUGUAACUCUCGACUGUGUGAUAACAUUCAGGAGAUCACGGCAUUUUUCAGUCUUACCCAGCUCUUAUAAAUUAACGUGGAACCAAUGUCUCCAUUUAACCAAAGCUCUAUGCGCAGAAAGGGAGAAACCUACAGGGUUCAUGUGGCAGCUGAAAGGAAGUGUGCUAUGUAUUAAGGCUAGCAGAACAUCAGCCCCUGCCAUAAUAGCCAAAUGGCGCAAGUGAGUGCCUUGUAUCUAAUGUACCAUGGAUAUGUUUUUUUCCAUUUGGUUGUUCCUCUCUUUUUGAUCUGUUCCUUUUCUCACAGACUCUGAGAUGGAACAUAAACCCAAUAAUGCUUUGGUCAAACUACAGUAAUGGAGAUGGGCUCAAAGUAAGGUAAAAUGAGUUCACCUGCUCCUAGUGAGAAGGGAUCAUAUAAACUGUAAUGUUGACUUCUCUCUCUUUCUCUCUCAGCCAAACUCAGGUUGGCAUGAGCGGGCACAAUUCCCAUUGACUUCAGCAAGAGUUGCACUUUCUUACAGCAAGCUGAGUUUGUUUCUCUCCCUUUUCUCUUCCAACACUUCCUCAGUCAAACAAAUCUGGCAUAUUUGCUAGCUAUCUAGCACCCAAAAAUUCGGUGGGGAAAACAAAUGGGAGAAAAUGAGAAAACACCAAGCAAUGUUUCACAGAUGAAAAGAGAGAAGUCCUCCUUUGUAUUGGGAAUGACUUUUUGUUACCCUAAGAGGUUUCACACUGAGGUGUAAGAAAGGAAGUUAUUGGAAUCGGUACCAUUGUUAUAUUCAUCUUCCUUAAACACUAGCUGAACUAAAUUGUAACCUAACAUCAUGUAAUCAUCAAUGAUUUGGAUGCACAGCUCCAUGGAGAUGCUGCAGCAUGGGAAAUUCAGCAAGUAAAAACAACCAAGCACUACAUGAUUAGUUAGAACUGUUGUCUUGGUCUAUGUUUGGAGGAUUGUGCCAUGAUAUUGUUAGGCCCUUCAUCGAGGAAAAAUUCCAGCAAUAAUACAGAAGAAGAUUGAAUUUGCUUGAAUACUCCUGGCUAGUGCUGUGCAAAAAUGUCCAGUUUCAUUUUGUAUGUUUUCAGUUCUAGCCCCUUCUCAGAAGAAAUGGGCCCCAGUCAGAAAAUUUGACUCAGAGCGAGAAAGAGAGACACCAUCAGUGAAGUUUGGAUCCUCGUUUGAAUUCCAAACCCUUCCUCAAAGUUUGUGUGUUUUUUCAGAUCCAGGAUAUCAUCAGUUCAGGUCCAUCUCUACUUCCGAGUAAACUUUCAUUUUCAUCAAAAAGAAAUGAUGCAAUCCAAAGCUAACUUAACUGUGGGGAGGAGGUUUCUUCAAAGCUCUGCAAGAUGAUGUGUUUGAGUGGAAGUAGGAUGCCAGACUUCUUUGAAAAAAUUCUUUCAGGGUGAGAGAAUAGGUUGUGGCUGGAAGAAAGAAAAUUAAAAGCUCACAUAUGAUCUCUGUCAUGACCUCCUAUGACAAUUACAGACUACUGGAACAAUAGAACAUCUGCCUCAAGUGUGAAACUCAUGUGAGCAGGAGAUGUAGGAAACUGAGCCAUGAAUUUAGAGUUCAUUUACAGACGAGACCAGGAUGACCACAAACUUUAGUGACUGCAGACCAAAACACAAAUUCAAUUUUUCAUUAGCAUUAAAAUCAAGUUUAUGAUUUGGAGCUUCUUGAGUUAUCUUUAGUGUUUGUUUUUAACAUAGCUCUCAUUAGACUCUGUCCAGAUCAUCAAUAUUGCCAGUUAGUCAUGCACCAAAAAAUCAUUAUUAUUUUUAGAACUUAAUCUUUGGUUGUUUUCAUUUGACUUUUUUAGUUUUUUAUCUUUUAGGGUUUGUGUUUUCAAACUUUUCUCUGCAACUAUGGAGACUAACAACUUAAUUUUUAAAUGAAAGCUGAGAUUCUCAUGUACUCACAUGAUUCCAAUACCUGGGAAUUUAAGAGAAAUUUGCAAGAGUUAACAACAUUGGUACUUUACCUUUUGCCAAAGAUUCCACUACAGCAUCACUUGCAGCAAUCUAAUUCAUGUAGGUAGAUUCCUAUGCCUGCAUGGAAUCCCACCGAAGUCAAUGGGGUUCUGUUUGGCCACAGGAAUCCACUUACACCAAAAAGUUUGCAGGAUGGAGGCCUUAGAUUGUAACAUGUUUGUACAGUACCUUGUACAAUGGUGUCUUAUUCCUGAUUCAAUUAUAAAUAAUAAUAAGUACUUCACAUUGUUAGGCCUUGUCAUGAUACCUCCUAUAUGUCUUCUUUCUCUCUGAGGAGGUGUGAUUCUGUUAUCUGUCUUCCCAUCUUUUUGAACACCAAUAAAUAAAUAUUGCAGUCUCUCAGCAGUUUAUAAUUCUUCAGCUAAUAAAUCACUUUUCCCUUUUUCUAAGAAGUCCUAUGAUCUGCUUUGCUGGCCUCUUGUUGUUUAUGUACAGCACCUGAAAAAAUCUGUUAUAAUUUCAUGUUAUCCUCUUCUAAAAGUUUCCUUUCAUUCUCUGCCUUUGCUUUUCUUAUCACUUUUUUAUGCUCUCUUAACUUUAUUAUGCAAUCAUUCCUAUCCUGCUCUGCAUUUGAUGUUUUAUAACCCAUGUCUGCCUCUUUCUCACCCUUGAUUACUCUUACAUUUCUCUGUUCCUUCACACUGGCCCCCUUUGAAAAAAAUUCCUUGUGCAAUUAUUGCUAGAUGGUGUGCAUAUUGCUAGAUGGCUUGCAUAACCCUUGGGCAUACAUUAAUUUAUCUUUGAACACUUUCUAUUUCCCCUUUGUGUCCUUUCCCUCCACUGCUUUAUCCUGUUCAAUUUCACCCUGCACUUCCUGCAUUCUUCCAAAUUUUGCUCUGCUGAAAUCCAAUCUUCUUGUUUUCUCAGUUUCUUAGUUGAACAUUAAUCCCAAUGAAAUUCUUAACUAGAUUACAGUCCUAGUUGUUUAGAUGGUUCUCCCGCCACUUCUGCAUCACUAGUUAUAGCACAAUUAUUACAUAAAUCUAAAUCUAGAAUUACUCCCUAUGUAAGUCAUAUGCAAAGGCCACAAAUUUGUUGCUCAUUUUUUUUUCUUCCCAGUUUUAGUGUCCCAUUAUGACUCUGGCCCAGCAAAGCACUUAAGCAUGUGCUUAACUUCAAACACAUGAAUAGUCUACGAAUCAUGUCAUUAAGUGCUUUGCUGGGAUGGGGCCAAUGUUUAGGAAGUUAACAUCUUUUAAUAGUAGUAGCUUGUGGAUUUUUCCCCCCAAGCCCUUUUGAUUUCUUUACUGUCUCUUCAUUGUGCUAUUUUCCUCCUUUAUUAACUUUGUUACAGCCUUAGUUGUUCAAAGAAGAGGUAAAGCUGUCUGCAGGUCUAAAGCAUCAGAGACCCUGUGCAGAAACACUCCAUUCCUCCUUGCAUGUUGGAUAGAUUGCAGGAAAGAAUAAUUUGGAAGAGGCACCAGGAAGUUAGUCUGUGUGUACAUGGCAGGAAUGCUAGCUGCUGUUGUGGCAUUUCUGAAAACACGUCUCUUAAUAUAGAACCAUUUUAGCUUUAGAAUCAUGGCGCGCUCGCCUGUUUAUUACCCGGAAUGCAGCCCAUGAAACAGGUGCUUAGGGAUCUGCAGGCUUUCCUUUACAUGUAUAAGAUGAUUUUCUCUUGUCUGAAUCCUUUACAAACUCUUAAACAGUCUAUCACCUUCAAAUUUGCUUCCUCCCACACUAUUUGUUAUCCAUUAUCAGGAUAUUUCAACUACAUUUACAAUUUUGAGACUUCCUGUAUGUAUAUUGGUCUUGUUGUUGUUCUUUUUUUUCCUCAUAUGGUUCUUGCAUUAUU